UCGCUGUUUCGCUUCGAGUAUUUCCGAUU
rnacentral:sRNA from 1 species